rnacentral:rRNA from 1 species
GACGUAGGAGGCGAGCGUUAUCUGGAUUCACUGGGCAUAAAGCGCAUGUAGGCGGAUGUCUAAGUCGUGUGUUAAAGCCCCUGGCUCAACUGGGGGAGGUCAUGCGAGACUGGAUGACUUGAGGGCAACAGAGGCACGUGGAACUCCCGGUGUAGCGGUGGAAUGCGUAGAGAUCGGGAAGAACACCCGUGGCGAAGGCGGCGUGCUGGGUUGCAACUGACGCUGAGGCACGAAAGUGUGGGGAUCAAACAGG